rnacentral:rRNA from 1 species
AUUGAACGCUGGCGGCAGGCCUAACACAUGCAAGUCGAGCGGAGGAAGGGAGCUUGCUCCUGGAUUCAGCGGCGGACGGGUGAGUAAUGCCUAGGAAUCUGCCUGGUAGUGGGGGAUAACGUCCGGAAACGGGCGCUAAUACCGCAUACGUCCUGAGGGAGAAAGUGGGGGAUCUUCGGACCUCACGCUAUCAGAUGAGCCUAGGUCGGAUUAGCUAGUUGGUGGGGUAAAGGCCUACCAAGGCGACGAUCCGUAACUGGUCUGAGAGGAUGAUCAGUCACACUGGAACUGAGACACGGUCCAGACUCCUACGGGAGGCAGCAGUGGGGAAUAUUGGACAAUGGGCGAAAGCCUGAUCCAGCCAUGCCGCGUGUGUGAAGAAGGUCUUCGGAUUGUAAAGCACUUUAAGUUGGGAGGAAGAGCAGUAAGUUAAUACCUUGCUGUUUUGACGUUACCAACAGAAUAAGCACCGGCUAACUUCGUG